AGUGAACGCUGGCGGUAGACCUAACACAUGCAAGUCGAACGGCAGCACAGUAAGAGCUUGCUCUUACGGGUGGCGAGUGGCGGACGGGUGAGGAAUCCAUCGGAACCUACUUUUUCGGGGGGGAUAACGUAGGGAAACUUACGCUAAUACCGCAUACGACCUACGGGUGAAAGCAGGGGAUCUUCGGACCUUGCGCGAUUGAAUGAGCCGAUGUCGGAUUAGCUAGUUGGCGGGGUAAAGGCCCACCAAGGCGACGAUCCGUAGCUGGUCUGAGAGGAUGAUCAGCCACACUGGAACUGAGACACGGUCCAGACUCCUACGGGAGGCAGCAGUGGGGAAUAUUGGACAAUGGGCGCAAGCCUGAUCCAGCCAUACCGCGUGGGUGAAGAAGGCCUUCGGGUUGUAAAGCCCUUUUGUUGGGAAAGAAAAGCAGCAGGUUAAUACCCCGCUGUUCUGACGGUACCCAAAGAAUAAGCACCGGCUAACUCCGUG
rnacentral:rRNA from 1 species